GCCAAAACAAGGAGGGGGCAGUUGGUGGGCUAGGUGGCAGGAAAUGAAAUCAUUCUGCAUUUUUGCAACAUGACCAGUGUUCUUCUAGCAUGAGGACAUCAUCUGCACUCAAUGAUUACAGCGUGAGGACUGGAUGUCAGAUCGCACAAGUUUCCCUUCUGGUUUGAUUACACCACAUCACCCUGAUCAUGUUGCUGCUCACUUCUCCCACCUGUAAGAUGAAGAAGAAAAAUAGAGGUGAGCAAAGUGUGCUGCAACAACCAAUAGAAAUGUACUGAAGUUUUGCUUAUAUAUUCAGUACUUUCACUUUCAUGUGUGACUUACAUUGAGCUACAAUUGUAAAUGAAGUAAACAUGAGUGGAAAAGAAA